rnacentral:rRNA from 1 species
CGGAGGAUCCAAGCGUUAUCCGGAAUCAUUGGGUUUAAAGGGUCCGUAGGCGGUCUAGUAAGUCAGUGGUGAAAGCCCAUCGCUUAACGGUGGAACGGCCAUUGAUACUGCUGGACUUGAAUUAUUAGGAAGUAACUAGAAUAUGUAGUGUAGCGGUGAAAUGCUUAGAGAUUACAUGGAAUACCAAUUGCGAAGGCAGGUUACUACUAAUGGAUUGACGCUGAUGGACGAAAGCGUGGGUAGCGAACAGGAUUAGAUACCCUGGUAGUCCACGCCGUAAACGAUGGAUACUAGCUGUUGGGCGCAAGUUCAGUGGCUAAGCGAAAGUGAUAAGUAUCCCACCUGGGGAGUACGUUCGCAAGAAUG